rnacentral:rRNA from 1 species
UGGGGAAUUUUGGACAAUGGGGGAAACCCUGAUCCAGCCAUCCCGCGUGUGCGAUGAAGGCCUUCGGGUUGUAAAGCACUUUUGGCAGGAAAGAAACGUCAUGGGUUAAUACCCCGUGAAACUGACGGUACCUGCAGAAUAAGCACCGGCUAACUACGUGCCAGCAGCCGCGGUAAUACGUAGGGUGCAAGCGUUAAUCGGAAUUACUGGGCGUAAAGCGUGCGCAGGCGGUUCGGAAAGAAAGAUGUGAAAUCCAGAGCUCAACUUUGGAACUGCAUUUUUAACUACCGGGCUAGAGUGUGUCAGAGGGAGGUGGAAUUCCGCGUGUAGCAGUGAAAUGCGUAGAUAUGCGGAGGAACACCGAUGGCGAAGGCAGCCUCCUGGGAUAACACUGACGCUCAUGCACGAAAGCGUGGGGAGCAAACAGG